rnacentral:hammerhead_ribozyme from 1 species
AUCCAACUGAUGAGUCCCAAAUAGGACAGGAAGCCUGUCUUGGAU